CGGGUCAUUUGGGCCGUCGGGUCAUUUGGGCCGGUGCCAUAUCUCCGAAAUUUGACAGUGACUGUCAAAUGUCAUUGCUGCUAUGUUAAUGACUUGCCAAAUGAACACUAUUGGUGGUAUUCCGGCGAGUCAAGUCGCAUUUCUUGUUAGUGAACUAGACACAUGACAAAAAAUUGUGAAAAAUAGUCAAAUUUACCAUUUUGCCGACCACUCGAAAUUGAAUAUUUUCCGACAAUUGUUGAAGUGUUAAAAAUGCCGAAGCAUACUCGAAAAACCGAACAAGGGAAAGUUGACUAAGCUGUCUUAACGACUGCACUCAAAGCCGUGAAAAUUGGAAAUAAAUCAGUUCGUUCGUCCGCUGUUGCAUUCGGAAUACCAAGAACCAGCUUUCAGCGGGCCAUUACAGGCAGUAACGCCAAAGCCAAAAACUUCGAAACGAGGUCGGCAGCCAAUGAAAAGUGCCGUGCUAACAUCGCCCGAAAACCUUGGCGAAUUGAAGGAAAAACGGACAAGACGAGAGGAUGCAGAAAAGAAGAAAGCUGAGAGAAAGGCGAAUAAAGCGUCCAAAUCGAAUAAAGCGUCCAAGUCGAUGAUCAAGAUGACAGUGACGAAUAAUCGCCAACAUUUUUUCUGUACAUGACAAAAAGUGAAUUACAAUCCAAAAAAAGUGUCAAUUUUUAUCGUACAUGACGAAAAAUCAAUAAACACGCAACAAAACGUC